rfam:Anaerobacillus alkalilacustris strain DSM 18345 Ga0137925_128, whole genome shotgun sequence.
AUCGCUGUGAAGUGUUGUCUGAAGGAGAUGCAGGAAACCGAGAGGACUGUAGGCGGAUAUGCAGACCCAAACGAAUAGUGAACUACAGACGCGGCGGGACAAGUUGGCGACCAUCCGAUAAUAAUGGGAAGCCUUCCUAAUGGUAUCUAUUUGCCAAAGAACCAGUCGACAAAUAGGAGCUUGUUCUGUGAAAGGUAGUGGGUAUGCUUAGAAGGAAAAUGCG